UACGUAGGGGGCAAGCGUUGUCCGGAAUUACUGGGCGUAAAGGGCGCGUAGGCGGUCUUCUAAGUCCUGUGUGAAAUCCCUCGGCUCAACUGAGGAACUGCCUUUGAAACUGUCGGGCUUGUGGCCGGGAGGGGGUAGCGGAAUUCCCAGUGUAGCGGUGAAAUGCGUAGAUAUUGGGAGGAGCACCGGUGGCGAAGGCGGCUACCUGGACCGGUUCUGACGCUGAUGCGCGAAAGCGUGGGUAGCAAACAGG
rnacentral:rRNA from 1 species